GAAAAAUGUCUCAUUGUCUUAAUAGAACUUGCCGAAUUAACAAAUUAAUGUGUGGAUGAACUCCGACGUUCCUCCGAGUUUAACACAGAACAAGUUUAUCACACCGGAACCUAACGGGAUGUAUUACAAUUAUGAAUUCGUUUGGAUUUUGCAUCUGAACUUAAACUUUGCUUCAGAUUCAAUUAAAUUGUAACGUGCUUCAUCCUCAAGUGCAGAAUUUUUUGUUCGUCAGUUUGUAUGACCACCGGUUGCAUUGUAUUUCGUAAGAAAAUGAAAAUAUCUUAAAUUCCCACAUAUGUUAAAACAAAGCGCAUUGGGGUUAGAUUGCAUCCGAAUUUUAUUGUUUUAUCUCCAUUUGCAUGGUUACUGCUGCUUGUGAUCCAAAAACUGGCAUAUUAAAUUGGUUACAUUUUCUGCUGUGCAUAGCUUUAUGCUUUACCGUGUAGGCUAUAUAUGCAAGAGCUAUCUGUAGGCCUAGUUUACACUACUCGUAUCGACAUACGAGUGUACUGCUGCGUUUACUACAUGCUGUUACUGCUUUCACUAAUGGCAACACCAAUUCUAUAGAAAGCAAUUGUACCAUGAUGCAAUAGAAAUUUGCUAGUAAAAGAUGGUGGCACUGAGCUCCAAGUUAUAUCCAUAAAAUAGUUUUAAAUACACAGUCGAUGUCUGACUUAAUUUCUCAAAUUAUAAUCAAUACAGUCGCUGGCAGAAAAACGUAAGCAUACACAAUCUCUUAAUAUAAUGUUUUAACUUAAACUUGUUUAAUAUGUCGCAUUCAUUCACUAGGGAAAGUUCAAAUUAAGGCUAACAAUUAAGAAUAUCAUUAUAUUCUUCAUAUAGUUUCAUAACGGUAACUAAAAUAAUGUAAUUUGAUUUCAUGGCGUUAAAUAUGUUAAUUUUGCAAAAGAAACACGUGUAUUAUAAAUACCACUCGUCGUCACUGGUGUCAGUAAUGAAAAUAUCGUAUUGUUAAUUCUUAUAUCUUAUUCUUAAUUACAGUAGCUAUAUAGUUUCUUUAAAUUAAGGCAAACAAUUGUAAACUGCAUUUCAAUUUACAGUGACAUUCAGUCUGAAAGCUUUGAAAACAAAAGUGACUGUGCACACAUACGACCAAGUCUUUUACAAACUUAUCUUGUCGUUCUGCUUCUAUUACAAAUUAAUGUUUCGUGUUGAUCAUUUCAAAAGAAAUUCAUAAAAUGAGAAUAUGUUCGGCUAUCUGUUGAUGUUUAACUCAGUAUUUUUUAAUACUGGUUUUAAAACAUUACCCGCCUUACACAUGUUAUUAUUUUUAGUCGAUUGGUACCUCAAAAGAUGCCAUUACCUACGUUUCAAAUAAACAGAAGAUUUUUUAAAUAUAAUUUUAAAUAAUCCGUGAAUUUCCCCUAUGACUGAAUAGAAACGUCUCAUAAAUGACAAGAUAGUUAAAACUUAAUCGUUUUAUGGUAUGAUUUAUGCUAUAGCCUUCUUUGAAAUCAUUGGCGUAGUGCAUUAUUCGCUAUCGGGGCAAUGACUGCUUUUCACCUAGUCACCCUGAAACAUUUAAUUAAACAUACCUGGAUCCACAUUUGCAAGUCUUUCACGGCACUCGGGCGUUUUCCAUGCAGAAAUAGCUAACAAAGUCAGUUUCUCCCACUUGUUGCGUCACUUCAAACUCACACUCUUAAACUCUCUACAUCUGCAAUAGCCAUAUUAGCCUAGUAUUCUAUGUUCUAAACCAAGACAAUUAAUAGCCUAUGUUGUUUUCGACAUGCUGAUCUGUACAAAUCGAAGAAAACGUUAAAUCAUUACUCAGUAUUAAGGGCAAAGCGCCAUGAGAUUAAAUUUAAUAGACCCGAAACGUCCAUCCUGUAUAAUAUAAUUUCUUUUUUAUAACUUUUUUAA